GUUUGGUGCUUCAAUGUACAUGGCUAUUCCGUGUGCAUAUGUGUGUAUACAAACACGCAUGCAUGCCUGGAUGGACAUACGUAUGCACAGGUUAUUUUUUAAGGACAAUUCUUUCAAUAAGGUCUUUACCCCUUACUUGAAACAGGUGUUCAUGAAAAAAAUGCACAAAAUCCUGCCUGGCCGGAAUAAUUCAUGAAGAAGGGGCUGGAUCCGUGGGUCAGAGAACACAGGACCAGUUUGCCAUCCCAAGGCCGAAGUCGAGGGACAAACGUCCUGAAGAAUGGGAAGAAAGGAGGUUCUGAAGGCACAGAUUCCAAUACCAUGCCAGAGGUUGAGGACACUGGUGCUUGAAGGGAAACUGGCACACUCUGGAGCCCCAAGAAGAGCUGGAGCUGGAGGCAUGCGGCCCACGAAGGGUAGAAGUACCAGCCAUGACCAAGAGCCCUUCACAUCAUCUGGCAAUCCAUCCAGAACCCACUGAAUGGAGGACAGCACAGCGAGGUCUUUCUCAUUUUGUAACUGCAAAAGCUGGAACAAGAGCCAGAGAAGCCAAAGAAGCAGUACAAGUCCAACAGCUUUUAGAAUAACCCUGAGAAAAUGGUUGAAUUUUGACCAGUUUUGCAAUUGGAUACUAUGAGAAGAGACCUUCCCUCCUGCACUGGAUUUCAUCAUCAUACCUGGAGGCCAUUCCUCAUGGGACUUUGGCCAUCUCAUAUCCACCUUUAAGCAUGUUAUUCCCAUUUCAGCUGUGGUAGCUCUGGGUAUCCUUCCCUAGGAGAAAAUAUUAAUCUUUUCUCCCUCUGAGUUCUGGAUUAAACUGUCUUAUCUGAAACUGGGUCACUUUAGGCUAGAAGCACCACUAGACAUUCCUGUUCUCAGAAGUUGCCAAGUUCAUGUCAUAUCUGUUUCAUUGUUAACGGGAUCCACUUCUGCAAGAGGCUGCCUGGCCAGAUCAGUGUGUCUCCUGGUCAGCUCCUUGAUGCCCUUCUCCUCUCCCCUGCCCAAUCCCAGCUGAGACUUGCACUGUGGUGACUCUGUCCCCUCCUGGUGCUUUGACUGGAUGUGUGAGAGAAAGUAUGGUCUGUGGCACUGACAUCUUUGUGUGUUUGGAGGUGACUGGAACACGGAUCCACCCCUGGAGGAAGGUGGCCGUGAAGGAGGCCAGCCUCAGCUCAGCGUUCUACUCUCAUCGCUCUUACUCCCGCCUUUUUAGUGCCUGCCCUACUCCAGGAUAAUUGUGCUUUUCUUUUUUCAGUUAAAUGUUAGCAUUGCUAUUUUUCAUUAUUGCAAAGCAGCACAUGCUUGUUACAAAAACUUUGGAAGUGUAGACAAAUAAAAAGAAGAAAAAGCUACUUCCAAAUCCUACUUACCCCAAAGACAAGAUGAUCAUUUAGUCAUAUAGUAUCAUACAUAUAUAAUAUGUACACAUAUAUUUUAAUGUAAGUGUAGUGUCACAAUAUCAUGUAUAGUCUUUCAUAAAACACGUUGGCACUUAAUAUCUUAUAUGAACAACUUUCUAGAGCAACAAGCUUAGUUUACAGCAAUUGUAAUGUAAGAGUACUCAUUUACAUAGCUACAGCAUCCUUUGUUUACCUCAUCUCUUAUGGUUUGAUGUUUAGGUUGUUUCCAACUUUUCUCCACCUAAACAGCAUUAAUAAAUGUGGUUUUAGUUUCCUC
rnacentral:lncRNA from 10 species